CAAAUAUGGAUCACGCUGUUUAAUGUUUGUAAAGACUACAAGGAGCUGGCCUGAAGCAGAGCGGUACUGUGUGUCCCUUGGUGAUCAACUGGUGUCUGUACCCAACGUUGUGAACUACCUUGGCGCAAACCUGGCAUCUGUGCACAGCUCCGAGGAGGACCAGUUUCUACAGGAGUUGGUCUUGGUCAAGACUGUUGGUUUCCCUCCUACCUGGAUUGGUGGAUUUUAUUCUGUUAAGGACAGGCGGUGGUUCUGGAGUGAUGGCUCCGACUUUG